GACGAACGCUGGCGGCGUGCCUAAUACAUGCAAGUAGAACGCAUUUGCGAACGGAUGAGUAACGCGUAGUUAACUGCCUGUUAGCGGGGGAUAACUAUUGGCAACGAUAGCUACUACCGCAUACUACCAGAUGGACCUGCGUUUUAUUAGCUAGUUGGUGGGGUAACGGCUCACCAAGGCAACGAUACAUAGCCGACCUGAGAGGGGGAUCGGCCACACUGGGACUGAGAAACGGCCCAGACUCCUACGGGAGGCAGCAGUAGGGAAUCUUCGGCAAUGGACGGAAGUCUGACCGAGCAACGCCGCGUGAGUGAAGAAGGUUUUCGGAUCGUAAAGCUCUGUUGUAAGAGAAGCGGUAUCUUACCAGAAAGGGACGGCUAACUACGUGCCAGCAGCCGCGGUAAUAC
rnacentral:rRNA from 1 species